GCGCUGCAUUAGCUAGUUGGUAAGGUAACGGCUUACCAAGGCAACGAUGCAUAGCCGACCUGAGAGGGUGAUCGGCCACACUGGAACUGAGACACGGUCCAGACUCCUACGGGAGGCAGCAGUAGGGAAUCUUCCGCAAUGGGCGAAAGCCUGACGGAGCAACGCCGCGUGAGUGAUGAAGGUCUUCGGAUCGUAAAACUCUGUUAUUAGGGAAGAACAUAUGUGUAAGUAACUGUGCACAUCUUGACGGUACCUAAUCAGAAAGCCACGGCUAACUACGUGCCAGCAGCCGCGGUAAUACGUAGGUGGCAAGCGUUAUCCGGAAUUAUUGGGCGUAAAGCGCGCGUAGGCGGUUUUUUAAGUCUGAUGUGAAAGCCCACGGCUCAACCGUGGAGGGUCAUUGGAAACUGGAAAACUUGAGUGCAGAAGAGGAAAGUGGAAUUCCAUGUGUAGCGGUGAAAUGCGCAGAGAUAUGGAGGAACAC
rnacentral:rRNA from 1 species